CAGUCGCCGCGGGAAUACGGAGGGUGCAAGCGUUAAUCGGAAUUACUGGGCGUAAAGCGUGUGUAGGCGGUUCGUUAAGUCUGUUGUGAAAGCCCCGGGCUCAACCUGGGAAUGGCAAUGGAUACUGGCGAGCUAGAGUGUGUCAGAGGAUGGUGGAAUUCCCGGUGUAGCGGUGAAAUGCGUAGAGAUCGGGAGGAACAUCAGUGGCGAAGGCGGCCAUCUGGGACAACACUGACGCUGAGGCACGAAAGCGUGGGGAGCAAACAGGAUUAGAUACCCCGGUAGUCCCUGUCUCUUAUAC
rnacentral:rRNA from 1 species